CCCUUAGAUGCUCUGGGCCGCACGCGCGCUACACUGGUCGAUGCAACGAGUUUCUUUCCUUGGCCGACAGGCCUGGGCAAUCUUUGAACAUCGAUCGUGAUCGGGAUAGAUUCUUGUAAUUUUUGAUCUUAAACGAGGAAUUCCUAGUAAACGCAAGUCAUCAGCUUGCAUUGAUUACGUCCCUGCCCUUUGUACACACCGCCCGUCGCAACUACCGAUUGAAUGGUCCGGUGAAAUCUCCGGACUGGCGUGAGUCGGAGCAAUCUGACAAACGCCGGAAAGUUGAUUAAACCUUACCAUUUAGAGGAAGGUGAAGUCGUAACA
rnacentral:rRNA from 1 species